GCGUAACACGUAAGCAACCUGCCCUAAAGUUUGGGAUAGCCCUCCGAAAGGGGGAUUAAUACCGGAUGUGGAUAACUGAUCUCAUGUUUAGUUAUCUAAAGCAGCAAUGCGCUUUAGGAUGGGCUUGCGGCCUAUCAGCUAGUUGGUGUGGGUAACGGCCUACCAAGGCGACGACGGGUAGCUGGUCUGAGAGGAUGGUCAGCCGGACUGGGACUGUUACACGGCCCAGACUCCUACGGGGGGCAGCAAUUAGGAAUCUUGCGCAAUGGGCGAAAGCCUGACGCAGCGACGUCGCGUGAACGAUGAAGUCUUUCGGGAUGUAAAGUUCUUUUCUGAGGGAAGAAGGAUGUGACGGUACCUCAGGAAUAAGCCCCGGCAAACUACGUGCCAGCAGCCGCGGUAAUACGUAGGGGGCGAGCGUUGUCCGGAAUCACUGGGCGUAAAGCGCACGUA
rnacentral:rRNA from 1 species